GACGAACGCUGGCGGCGUGCUUAACACAUGCAAGUCGAACGAAGAGCGAUGGAAGCUUGCUUCUAUCAAUCUUAGUGGCGAACGGGUGAGUAACGCGUAAUCAACCUGCCCUUCAGAGGGGGACAACAGUUGGAAACGACUGCUAAUACCGCAUACGAUCUAACCUCGGCAUCGAGGAUAGAUGAAAGGUGGCCUCUACAUGUAAGCUAUCACUGAAGGAGGGGAUUGCGUCUGAUUAGCUAGUUGGAGGGGUAACGGCCCACCAAGGCGAUGAUCAGUAGCCGGUCUGAGAGGAUGAACGGCCACAUUGGGACUGAGACACGGCCCAGACUCCUACGGGAGGCAGCAGUGGGGAAUCUUCCGCAAUGGACGAAAGUCUGACGGAGCAACGCCGCGUGAGUGAUGACGGCCUUCGGGUUGUAAAGCUCUGUUAAUCGGGACGAAAGGCCUUCUUGCGAAUAGUUAGAAGGAUUGACGGUACCGGAAUAGAAAGCCUCGGCUAACUACGUG
rnacentral:rRNA from 1 species